GAUGAACGCUGGCGGCGUGCCUAAUACAUGCAAGUCGAGCGAACGGACGAGAAGCUUGCUUCUCUGAUGUUAGCGGCGGACGGGUGAGUAACACGUGGAUAACCUACCUAUAAGACUGGGAUAACUUCGGGAAACCGGAGCUAAUACCGGAUAAUAUUUUGAACCGCAUGGUUCAAAAGUGAAAGACGGUCUUGCUGUCACUUAUAGAUGGAUCCGCGCUGCAUUAGCUAGUUGGUAAGGUAACGGCUUACCAAGGCAACGAUGCAUAGCCGACCUGAGAGGGUGAUCGGCCACACUGGAACUGAGACACGGUCCAGACUCCUACGGGAGGCAGCAGUAGGGAAUCUUCCGCAAUGGGCGAAAGCCUGACGGAGCAACGCCGCGUGAGUGAUGAAGGUCUUCGGAUCGUAAAACUCUGUUAUUAGGGAAGAACAUAUGUGUAAGUAACUGUGCACAUCUUGACGGUACCUAAUCAGAAAGCCACGGCUAACUACGUGCCAGCAGCCGCGGUAAUACGUANGUGGCAAGCGUUAUCCGGAAUUUAUGGGCGUAAAGCGCGCGUANGCGGUUUUUUAGUCUGAUGUGAAAGCCCACGGCUCAACCGUGGAGGGUCAUUGGAAACUGGAAAACUUGAGUGCAGAAGAGGAAAGUGGAAUUCCAUGUGUAGCGGUGAAAUGCGCAGAGAUAUGGAGGAACACCAGUGGCGAAGGCGACUUUCUGGUCUGUAACUGACGCUGAUGUGCGAAAGCGUGGGGAUCAAACAGGAUUAGAUACCCUGGUAGUCCACGCCGUAAACGAUGAGUGCUAAGUGUUAGGGGGUUUCCGCCCCUUAGUGCUGCAGCUAACGCAUUAAGCACUCCGCCUGGGGAGUACGACCGCAAGGUUGAAACUCAAAGGAAUUGACGGGGACCCGCACAAGCGGUGGAGCAUGUGGUUUAAUUCGAAGCAACGCGAAGAACCUUACCAAAUCUUGACAUCCUUUGACAACUCUAGAGAUAGAGCCUUCCCCUUCGGGGGACAAAGUGACAGGUGGUGCAUGGUUGUCGUCAGCUCGUGUCGUGAGAUGUUGGGUUAAGUCCCGCAACGAGCGCAACCCUUAAGCUUAGUUGCCAUCAUUAAGUUGGGCACUCUAAGUUGACUGCCGGUGACAAACCGGAGGAAGGUGGGGAUGACGUCAAAUCAUCAUGCCCCUUAUGAUUUGGGCUACACACGUGCUACAAUGGACAAUACAAAGGGCAGCGAAACCGCGAGGUCAAGCAAAUCCCAUAAAGUUGUUCUCAGUUCGGAUUGUAGUCUGCAACUCGACUACAUGAAGCUGGAAUCGCUAGUAAUCGUAGAUCAGCAUGCUACGGUGAAUACGUUCCCGGGUCU
rnacentral:rRNA from 1 species